GUCCUGGUCUAGUCCUGGUCUAGUCCUGGUUCAGUCCUGGUCUAGUCCUGGUUUAGUCCUGGUCUAGUCCUGGUUUAGUCCUGGUCUAGUCCUGGUUUAGUCCCGGUUUAGUCCUGGUUCAGACCUGGUUUAGUCCUGGUUUAGUCCUGGUUCAGUCCUGGUUUAGUCCAGGUUCAGUCCUGGUUUAGUCCUGGUUCAGUCCUGGUUUAGUCCAGGUUCAGUCCUGGUUUAGUCCUGGUUUAGUCCUGGUUUAGUCCUGGUUUAGUCCUGGUUUAGUCCUGGUUUAGUCCUGGUUUAGUCCUGGUUUAGUCCUGGUUCCUCU
ensembl:lncRNA